rnacentral:lncRNA from 1 species
UCCCUUGAUCUGUAGGCUCCCAAAUGCCAGAGUAUCAAAUAUAUAGAAAAUAGGAAGAUAUGGUUAAUAUAAUUGACCCUGUGAUGAAUGAAUGCCACAUAGACAAAAACAGAAUCUAAGAAAACAGAAUUAGAACGAGAACACUCGUCUAAGAAUCUCUACUUUAACAAUAACUGUCUUUCCGUUUCCCACAGGCGAUUGUAGUUGUCAUGAGGCACAGGUAUCCUGAGGUGUCACUAGCAGAGGCUGGUGAAGUGAGCCUACUGGGACAAGUGCACAGCGAGCACGCUGGACUUCGGGACCCUCACCAGCGUCCUCUGCAUGGCUGACAUGCCUGGAACUUCAAUGAUCGUGAUGCUCUUGGGUGAGAAAAUAAACAAUUUUCAUCAGCAGAAAAUGUCCCAGCAAGGAGUUUUAGCAAUCUCUCCAGCUGCUGAAAUGAUACAGAAAAUAAAUGGAACACUGAUUUCUCUAAAUUGUUUUCCUGAGGCACUAAUCAUCAGAAACCACAGACAAGCCACCAAGGACCGUCAUGCAUAAAUAGACUCAAUGUUGAUUGCUUUUAUUGUUGUUUACAUCUGCUUGGCUCAUUAUUUGUUCAUUUUCUUUGAUUUGUUGCCAAAUCUUUAUCAGAUUUUAUAAAAGCACUCAUAAAAUUAUUAAUAAAACAUCUAUUUGUUUAUUUUGACUUAACUGA